GCUCUCAUUCUCUCUCUCUCUCUUUUUUUUUAAUAUUUAUGUCUUAAUCAUUCUGAGCUGAGAGACCGUCAUUUUUCUUCCUUGUCUUGAAUGCUUUUUUAUGGUAUUGGGUUUUUUUUUCCUCCUCUGUUUUUCAUACUGUGAUUAAUUUAAAUAAUUUAUUUUUAAGAUGCUGGGUUUCAGAAUUUUUCUGUUAUGACCGGAAAGAUAAUUGUCCUAAAAAUUAUUUGAAAGGAAACUUUUCCUUCACAUUUGAUGGGGUGACAUAGGUGUCUUUCCAAAGCAUGCUUAUUCUGAUUUUUGAGACAGACACGUUCUGGAUGAACUUCUCUUGGUGCAUAGACACUGACGAGAGGAUGCUUGUCUGGGGGCACCGUGGCCAAGAGGAGUGUUCAGCAAUGGUUUGGCAUUGCAGACAGUCUCCUAGCAGCAGCCAGACACAGGCUGAAGCCAAAGGCCUGCAAGUAAAUAUGUAUUUCCAGGUAAACCGACACCAGGCUCCUGCAAGAGUAGUCUGAUAUCAGAUGCUGACUCUUUGAAGCUUUUCGAUACGGGAUAUCUGCAAAAAUUCAGUUCAUUCUUUCUUGUGAAAGAAAUCUUAUUUUUAAGUGUUUUACUGCCUAAACUUUGAGAUAGAGCGUGAGACAGCAGCGUGGUAUUAAUGCUGACGCCGUCGCCUCCCUCUCAGCGACCUUGCGGAGGAAGGAGCUCGAGGGGAACGCCCAAGUCCGGCGGCCGGGCGGCAGAGCGGGGCUAACGUCGCCUCGGACCCGCAGCCCGGGAGCUGCCGCGCCGGGGGCCCCAGAGCCGGCGCGGUGCCAGCCGCCGAGGCAGGACACGGUCAGUCCGGCGGCCGUCAGCCGAGGGCAAAGCUCCGCUCAGCUGGGCGAGCGCUGGGACCACGUCGCUCCAGAGCACGUUUCUUUUAGGAUGCGAAGCAGCGCCUGUGCAACCCGAGCUCGCCGCGUGCCCUGGCAGGGGCGCAGGACCCGGACGCGGCGCGGGGGCACGCGGGCGCGCGGAGGCCGCCGAGCCCCACGCAGGGCGCGGGCGCUGCCCCGGCUCCGCUGAUUAACGCCGUAGAUCACUCUCCCCGCCCGGGAAUCAAUGACAGCGGUUAAAGGUCUGUCCAACUGCUGGUUUUCCCGUAAUGAGUUUAUAACAAAGCUGCCACCAAAUAGUUUAGUGUCGUGUGUUUUCUCUUUUAUUGAUUUCAAUAAAAAGGCUAAUUUGGA